rnacentral:pre_miRNA from 10 species
UAUUACGUUGGUGCAAAAGUAAUUGCCAGUUUUGCCAUUGAAAGUAAUGGUAAAACUCGCAAUUACUUUUGCACCGACCUAAUA